GUCCCACAAAGGGCAGCUUAGCCAUUUUUUCUUGAAGAUAGGACUCAUAAACUGGAUAAGACUUAGAAGUCAAUGGCUUGAGAAGACCAUUCUUUUUCAGUUUGUUGAGUCUAUCCUCUCCUAUGUGGCUUAACCUAAGGUGCCAUAAAUACUUUUGGCUAAUCCUAUCUCUAAGUCUCUUAGACCCUACAGUGUUCACAGUUUACUCGUUAAUGUUAACACUCGCAUCAAUAUGCAAAUGAUAAGGACCAUCAAUUAAGAAC
rnacentral:lncRNA from 1 species